AAUAUAGAAUAUCUAGUUCAAUUUGAAUUUUACAUCAAUAACAAUUUUCUCAAUAUAAGUAUGUCCUGUGCAGCAUUUGGGACAUUCUUAUACUAAAAUAUUUUCUUUGUGUAUCUGAAAUUCUAAUUUAACUGGGCAUCCUGCAUUUU
rnacentral:miRNA from 10 species